GGGUCAGUAGGUUGGUCGUGCCACCGGUACGUACUGGUCUCACUGGUUCCUCCUUCCUGAAGAACCGUAAUGCCAUUAAUUUGGUGUUGCGGGGAAGCAGGACUGUUACUUUGAAAAAAUUAGAGUGUUUAAAGCAAGCUAACGCUUGAAUACAUUAGCAUGGAAUAAUGAAAUAGGACGAUCGAUCCUAUUUUGUUGGUUUCUAGGAUUGACGUA
rnacentral:rRNA from 1 species